AAAGAGAUGAUGACCUAAAAAUCAUGUUCAAUAGGAUUA
ensembl:snoRNA SNORD115 Small nucleolar RNA SNORD115